rnacentral:rRNA from 1 species
AUUGAACGCUGGCGGCAGGCCUAACACAUGCAAGUCGAGCGAGCGGCGGACGGGUGAGUAAUGUCUGGGAAACUGCCUGAUGGAGGGGGAUAACUACUGGAAACGGUAGCUAAUACCGCAUACCAUCAGAUGUGCCCAGAUGGGAUUAGCUAGUAGGUGGGGUAACGGCUCACCUAGACGACGAUCCCUAGCUGUUCUGAGAGGAUGACCAGCGACACUGGAACUGAUACACGGUCCAGACUCCUACGUGAGGCAGCAGUGGGGAAUAUUGCACAAUUGGCGCAAGCCUGAUGCAGCCAUGCCGCGUGGGUGAAGAGGGCCUUCGGGGUGUAAAGCACUUACAGCGGGGAGGCGUUACCCGCAGGAGAAGCACCGGCUAACUCCGUGCAAGCAGGCGAGGUAAUAC